CCCCGGCCGGACUUCCGCCGGGAGCUUGGUGCACCCGGCUUCUCCGCCCCGCCCGCGUUGGCCUCGGUGCGCCGGAGAAAGUGCUCCCGGCCGGCCGCUGCGGUCGGGCCAAGGUUCCGCGCCGGGCGUGGACGGUCCGCAGAUCCUCCUUAGCUGCAGUCCCAAGGAUGGACCCAGGAGACCCUGCUGGUGACCCUGCCGCUGGCACGCGCCGCUGCACAGGCCAGGACCCCCUCCUGCUCCUGCAGAUCCUGCAGACCCUGUGGUCCACGCGGGAGCGGCAGCAGCUCCGGGAGGAAGCCUGGCGGGGGUUUGCUGCCCUGGACGACCCCCUGGCUGGGCUUCUGGACAUGCUGGAGAGCAGCCGGGGCCGGCGCAGAGAGGGCCCCUCCCUGGAGGCCUGGAUCUCCCACCAGCUGCAGUGCUGGCUGCGGGCACAGCCACACCCGGGCCCAGCCCAGCACAGCCCGAGGCUGGAACAGCUGCAGGCCCGAGCGGUCAGGGUCCUCACCGAGAGCCCCCUCAGCCUUGCAGCGCCACUGGCCAGCAUCUUCCAGCUACAGGAUGCGGACCGCAGCUGCCUGCUGGAGCAUGUCCACCGCCUCUACCACGAGGGCAGGUUCAGAGAAGCAGUCAUGCUGGGCACGACGUUGAAGCUUCAGCCAGAACUUGAUGUUGAAAAGAUGAGUGUCCCACUGCUCCUCCAGGACAAGGUGGCCCUCGUGGAGCGCUACGUAGCCGGCUUCCCGGACCUCCAGAGGAGGCUGCUGGCCCUCAUGGACUCCUGGUGCCAGCCCGGCUUUGACAUCAAGGAUGUUGCCAGACAGUACCCUCAGGUGGCCUCCCUGAGCCUGGAGAAGCUGAGUCCGAAGGUGCUGAGCAGGCAGGUCUUACGUCUGCAGGAGCGGUUCGGCAUGGUCCCAGCGCUGUGUCCCCAUGCGGCCACGCAGCAGCGCCUGGCAGCCCUGCAGCACCUGUGCCACAAGCGGUUUAUGGAGAAGAGCCUGUCUCAGGAGAACUGGGCUGACCACGUGCAAGUGAGUCCGUGCCCUGCCCCAUGGGGCUGCAGAGUGCUGGGCAGCUGUCUGAGGGGCACAGGCCCGGAGCCUCCGGGAGAAAGCGGGCAGACUGAGGCCUUCGUUGGGGCCGGCGACCCCAGACCCUAUGUUAGGGCGUGUGCCUGCCAGGCGGGUGGGGGGUCCCCAGGCUGGGCAGCCUGCUCUGAAGCCGAGGGCCUUGGGGGAGCCCGGCUGGGCCUCGUUCCAGGCAGAUGGCAGCGUCCGUGCCACCCAAACCGGCCGGCAGAGCUGCCUGUGUGGCCGGGUGGGGGCCGAGAGUCCCCGGAGAGGUGCGGGGCCUGGGCGAGGCCGGAAGGAGGAAGGCCAGGCCCCCCCAGUGCCAGCACGGAGCCGGCCGGAAGGGCAGCGGACGUCCUGAAGAAUGCGGGCGGCUUCCACGUAUUGUCGUCCACGUGGGAACCCACGCCGGGGAAGCAGCCUCGGGCUACUGGGCCUGAAGCCAGCGAGGGCCUGGUGGGACAGAGCCCGUGGCUUCAGGAGCAGCUGUCUCAGUUGCUGGCCUCCCUCCGUGACCCAGGCACGGCCACCCAGUGCACCCCGAACCCCCUGCUGCCCGAGGAUCAGCUGCCAGCCACAGUGGCUGCAGAGCUUGGCCAGCUCCAGCUCCAGGGGAGGGCGGCUGAGGCUGACUCGAAGCCCGACGUGAAGGAGGUGAAGGACCGGCACUACCAGCUGCCCAUCCCCAGGGAGAACGUCUACCUCCUGGCCUCUCGGGAAGACCUGGCCAGACAUGAGGGUGCCCUCCUGCAGCCCCAGCAGGUGGUUGCCGUGGACCUGGAGUGGACACCGGUGUUCGUCGCUGGGGGCCGGCCCCGGCCAUCACUCCUGCAAGUGGCCAUGGAGGGCCACGUGUUCCUCCUCGACAUCCAGGCACUCACGCAGCCGCCAGCAGGACAGGGAGCCCGGGCCUUCUCCCAGCUGGUGACCCAGCUUCUCUCAGACCCGUCCAUCACCAAGCUGGGUUAUGGGAUGGCAGGGGACCUGCAGAAACUGGGCACGUCCUGCCCCGCCUUGGCCCACGUGGAGAAGCAGGUUCUGGGUGGCGUGGACCUGCUGCUGGUGCACAGACAGAUGCGCGUGGCAGGCAUGCCAACCCCAGGCGUGGACGGGGCUGGUGGGCUGAGAGGCCUGAGCCUCCUAGUGCAGCAGGUACUGGGCACGACCCUGGACAAGACGCAGCAGCUGUCCAACUGGGACCGGAGGCCACUCUGCGAGGAGAAGCUCAUCUACGCAGCUGCUGAUGCCUACUGCCUGCUGGAGGUGCAUCAAGCCCUGUGCAGAGAGCCCGCCCGCUUCCACCUGUCGGGGGACCUGGCUGGGAGCCAGAGGCCCAGGCACAGAGAGAGACCAGGAACAGAGGAGCCGCCCAGCCUGCAGGACGCUUCGGCGUCGGCCGCACCCAGGCAGGUCCCUGUGGCUGUGACUGAGGCCACCAUCCCUCAGGUCCCUGCCAGGGCCUUCCGCGUGGUGUGUGACAACAUGCUGCAGGGGCUGGCACGGAGCCUCCGCUGUCUGGGCGUGGAUGCGCAGGUGCUGCGCAGCAGUGAGGACCACCGCAGGGCAGCUGAGAUCGCCAGGCUGGAGGGGAGGAUCAUCCUGACGUCAGGGCAGCCCUAUCACACGCUCCGGGCCCAGGUCGGGGCUGGGCGCUGCCUCCUGGUCGACGGCUCCCUGAAGGCCCAGCAGCAGGCCAAGGCUGUCCUCAGGCAUUUCAACGUGCGUGUCACCCAUGCAGACAUCUUCAGCCGCUGCCAGCUGCCACCAGAUGCCCGUCCAUCGGGAAACCACGGCACCUGGCCACAUGCCCCAGCCCUCCCAUGAUGUCACAAGCAUCCCCCAUCGUCCUGGGUGAGCGGUGAGGCCAUGUGGAGCCCCCUGUCCCCCGCCCACGCCAGCAUGCCCCUAAGCCAAGCGCCUGCACGUAGCCUGGGUGAGUGGAGGGCUUCCCUGCACCAGGGCUCAGGAGCAGCUUCCCUGGGAAUGUACAGACACAUGGGGUGUGGGUGGACAUUGGGUGGCCUGGACAGCUGCAGCCACAGUGACUCCAGCCCCAAGCAGGACAGCUUGACCUAGGGCCUGGACAGUGGGGCUGGGAGGCUUCUGAGCAAGCAUGGCUGCGUGUCUGGGCCAGGGCAGCUGCUUCCAAGGUCAGCGGGCAGUGGGACGUGCGUGACCCUAGGCAGGGCUGAGCUGGCCACGUGGGCAGCAAGCAGAGGCCCCUCAGUACCCGGAACUGUCUGGGGACCGUGCUGGACUGCAGGGAACCAGGGCCUGCCUUCCCCUGCUCCACACCUCCACGGCUGGACUGGAAGACCAGGCCUCAGCCUGGCUGCUGGGCACCUCCCCCGUGCUGGACCCGCAGAAACCGUAAGGGAAUGGGGAUGCAGGAGCACCGGCCGCCGAGACCUGGCCUAGGAGGACUUACCCUCCGCAGGUUGAGGGGUCAGGGGACGGUGGCCCCAAGUGCCAGUCAGGCCUCCAGGGGUGGGCACAGGCAUUUCCCUGGAGCUGGGGGGAGGGGGCUGGGGUACCCCAUUGCUGACUUUGGGGAACCCAGGCAGAGUCUUGAGGGCCAUGCAGCCCUCCUCAGGUGUCCCCGGGGCCUGGCUCCACUCUCUGCACAGCCUGGAUGGAUGGGGUGGGCAGGCUGGCCUCGGGGGCUCAGGGGUGCAGGCAAAGGGACCGGCCUUGGCCAGGUUCAAGGAGGGGAGUUCUGGGGAGCUCCUUGGGGUGACGAGGCAGGGUCUGUGUCCGGCAACCGUUUCACCCAACCUCCCGGACAGGCACUGGGAUCUCCUGUCCCUUCGCGUUGACCAUCCUCCAGGCCAGCCAGGCUCAGAGAAUGACCCGGGUCACCUGGCUCACCUGAGCAGGAGAGCCGCGCCCACGCGCCUGCACCUCAGGACACGGGUUUGCUGAGGCGGCCUGGGAGCCCCACCUCCUCCCCAGGGGGUGCUGACAUCAGAAGGGCUGUGAUGGGAAGGCCACACCUCUGCAGGACCUGUGGGUGCCUGCCUGGGACCUGGCUCUCAGUGGGCACCCAGCCCCCUCCUGGCUUUGCCCGGGGAGCCUGGGGAUCGGACCCGUCUCUGUCCAGGAAGUGACUGCUAGGAGAGCUGUGCAUCCCCUCCGAGUCAGGAAGCCGGGGUGUAAGCUGGUCCUAGCCUCCCAGCCUCCCCGCCCCACCCCCAGCAUCCAGCAAGGCUGGCAGGCCUGUAACGGUGACCAGUACCUGAAGGUGUCCACAGACAUGAUGAAGCAGCUCAUGCGGCUCAGCGGCCACCAGGAGGGCCCCAGGACCUCGGGUGACAAGGCCACCCAGAGCCAGGAGAGGCAAGAGCCAGGUCCAGCCCCAGAGGAAGCUCCUGGGGGCUGCACCCAUGACCGCCCCUGCCGCUGGCUGCAGGCGGCUGAUCUGUGUGCAGAGACGCCAGACACGCUGGCCAACGGCACCCGGCUGCAGCUGGCCAGGGUCCCGGCGGGCGUGCUGAGGACACCGGGGCUGCAGCACUUCUACUGCUGCUCGCGCUGUGGGAAGGUCUUCUGGGAUGGCUCCCACCUGGGUCGUGUUGCCACCCACUUCCAAGACGUCCUGGAGAGCGCCCCGGGCGCCUGUGAGCCGAGCCCAGCCCCCAGCCCGGCCAGCAGCUCCUUCUGAGGACAGCAGGGCAAUAAACGUGGAACAUGCCGAGUGCUGGGCCCGUGGCUGUG